UAAAUUUGCAUGACAGACUUUAUGAAAAGUAAUGUUCUUUCAAGAAAGUCAACAAGGUCCCUUUUUGCUAACCCAAUGGCUGCUACCCUUGAAUCUCCCUAUUUAGCUCCUUACACAGUCCCUCUUGAUUUGAGGGUGAUCCUUCGCUACUGAUCAUGGACUCCAUUGGUGAAACUGAAAACCGACGAGAGAAUGCUGUAAUCCAAGACUGAUAAAUUGUGUGCUGAUUUAAACAAGUUGCGACUGGAGAACCACCUGCAGGUCGAGGGUCUAUGAGAAAGAUUCCUACCGUCAAAGAAACCAAACAAACCCAAGGUCGCCGUGUACGACUUACUGAACAUUUCAUACCAACUCUUCCUCUGUUACUCGGGAAAUAUAUGACUGAUCCCGAACAAGUUGCAAACCUCUUGUCAAUCCCUCAAUACCUUAAUAUGGAAAUCUAUACUACCUCACGUCAAGAGAAGAGUCUAGAUUCGUUAUUGCGCUUGAUCCAGAAUAUAGUGGAAAGGCACACCACAACAGAAGUGUCGGAAGGCUGCGCUCAAGCGCUGGAAUAUCUUUGUAAUGAAGAAAUGCGAACAAGAUUAUGAAAAUUAUGUAACACUGAUGGCUGGCGACGACGAGCCCAACAAGGAUUCGGUGUUUACGCUGGUAUUGGGUUUGAAAAAAAUUGCCUUAUUCUCGUCACAUCACAAUCUUGGGACAUGGAAUUUGUGGGAUGUUUAACGGAAUUCAAGAAACUUUAAACCUAAAUCGGUCAAUGCCACUUGAAGCUAUAAAUUAUUGCAUUUUUUGCUUGCCAUUCUGCUGUUUUAUGGGAGCUUCUGCAAUUCAAAAACUGUUCUGGACAAGGAACGUCUGCCGCUCAACAACAGAAACAAUUAAGAGAUCAUUUGGACGCGUACAUGUCUUUGAUGACUGAGCUUAUCACUUCGAACGUUGCUGAUUUUAGAGAAGAGGCAUACGUGUCUGUAGGGGAUUUGCUUAUAUGGUUUAGCAAGCGACUAAAAGACAAUCCUCAGUUAAAACCGCUUGUUUACGAGCCUGAUCGUGACCUACAACAAAUUCUGGAAAACUUCAUUCAGACUUAUGUAUUUGUUGAAGAAGAAGAAGAUGUAGACGAGGAAGGAGACGAACAUAAAAAAAUUGAAAAAUUGCACAAUCGCCGGAACUAUUUAUCGGUUUUCUGCAAACUCGUGGCUUGCAAGUUGCAACGUCUUGCCUGUAAAAGCUGCGGCAGGUGUUAUUAGACACUAUGUCAAGUAUUACGAUGAUUACGGUGACAUCAUUAAGACAUUAUUGGGAAAAACUCGAAACAUCAACAAAAUUACCAGUGCAAAAACUAUGGUUCUUAGUCUCUCAUUGCUGUUUCACGAUCUAACAAGGGAUGGUGGAAGUCGUAUUGAUCGGCAGUCAGAACAAUUUCUUAGUGUCAAGGAAUUGGCCAAAGAAUUAGCCAUGUCAUUUGGACUCGAUACGGUGAAAAAUCGCGAAGCUAUCACCGCCCUUCAUAGAGACGGAAUUAUUUUUGCCAAAUCCACUCGAGAAUCCAAAUAAUCAAAUUGGCCCUCUUCCUAAUUUAGCGUUUCUUGAAAUUUGUGGCGAGUUUUCAAACAAACUGUUAAAACAAGACAAAAAGGUGGUUUUACAGUUUUUGGACCGAAUGCUCAUCAUGGGUAGGCUUUCACCUCGUCGAGAAUGGGAACCUAUCUUGUUCUACCGGAAUUCCUUGGUUCAUGGCGAAACUGAUCCACCUCCGCAUUCUGUCAGGAGCGCUAACAGACGACGUCGUCGCGAUACAGGUGGAGACGACGGUGAAAUCGCUGAUAACGAUGAUGGAUCAGAUCACGAAUUUGCCGAGGGUGGGUAAUGUUAACCGGUUUGACUUCAGCAUUUGAGUCUUGUGAAUGAAUGAAGUGAAUUCGUAGUAACAUAACAUGUACGUGUAAAAGUUUCAUUUCAUUUUUUGAUAAAUUUCCAGUGUUAACGCAUCUUAUCUGCGAUGAUUCUAGGAAAUGUUAGUUUUUAUUAACGUUUGGUGAGGUGCUUUGUUAUUUAUCCUUUUGGCUACUGAACUGCGACAUGUAAAUUUCCAUUUUAACAAUGGAUCCUGCUGUUAGAUUACGUACGAUCGCACUUGUAGGAUUCUCUAGGAUAAAUAAACACAGUUGACAGUU